CCAUUUCUGCAGAUCGGGAAACUUAGGCAUGAGAGAGGUGAAGUGAUUUCUCAAGUUCCAGCGCCUCUUUCUACCACGUCCAGUAAAUCAAAUCCCUCAUCACUCGGACACCAGCCUGCGUCAUCAUGGCAGGAAGAGGGAGCGGGGGAUGGGGAUGGCGAAAGGUUCACAGGCACGGAGAGCGCGCAGAGACUUUCUUUCAUGGCAAAGAGCACAGAAACUUAGAGAGAUGGCUGCCUGGUGCAGAAGACAAGGCAGCACACUCCCAGGCAGGGCAAGGAGCUGCCCAGGGCCGCAGGUCCCCAUGCAAAAUGAGGAUUCGAGGACAAGAGAAGCUCACCCUAUCUCUUCUCACUGGGCAGGUCGGGGAGAGCUUCCACCUAUCCUGUGCUGCACCCCCAAACAAAGCAUCGCACUGAGUUGAUCAGCCAUUCACUGAAGAAGCAGUCAUCUGUUGCCUAUGGGCUUGUCUGUCGCCAGGAGGACGCAGAUGGAGGAGAUGCGCUUCAGCCACAACAGGGAAGGGUCGGGUCCACCCUGGGGAGGACGAGCCAGCUGUGCGGGCGAGCAGCCACGGACCCGCUUAUUCACGGAGAGAAGCCCUGACGGCUCAUUGAGACGGAUUCUAAAGGACUGAUGUCCUGGUCCAUCUAGUCGCAGACUCCUUGGGCCUUUCUGGCUGGGAAGUCCGGGAUCUGAAGCGAGCCCCACCAGGCGGGCGGUUGCGGGCCCCGCGCGGGUUGAGGGCUGCGAAAGGCGUCUCGUCGGACCACACGGAGACCAGAGCGCGCCGUGCCUGGAGCAGGAGGCGCGCAGAAGCUCUUGGCGCCUAAACCAUCCUGGCAAAUGCUGCUACCAGCGAAAGAGCUGGUAGGAGCCUGGGACUUCAGAGACUGUUU
rnacentral:lncRNA from 1 species